AAUAAUUUAUAAACAAUAAAAUGAUAAAAUCAUCAAUAACAUAAAUUAUAUAUAACACAAAACCUUCAUACAUUAUNGUGCGAUCCUUGCUGUGAAUCACAUGAUUCACUUUGCUUUGUCGGCCACCUUACUUUUUUGGUGCCCGAGGGUUUCUUCCCUUUGGAGUCUGAUGCUCAUCAUGUUCAUCAGACCGGAACCUCCUUCUGUCAGGCUUUGGGAAGAAUCCUUUGCCGAAUUCUGGCUCUUUCUGCGAUGAACAUUGAUCGCAAAUUUUCUCAAUCCAAUGGCCCAGAUGAGCCAUGUUGCAAAAUUUUCGACGAGUCUCCUUGCUCCCUGCUAUCUUGUUUUCCCACAACAUUUGCCGUUUAUUUUCGAAAGAUUUUUCGGCAAAAGGGGUCGUAGUUCCUGUCAUUGUGUUAACCAGGAACGUUCCCAGAUCUGAACUUUGGUAGAACUUGAAUCUGGACUUCAUUUUAUCCAUCUCUGUGAGACAGACCCAUAGACCCCAUGCUCGUCUAGUGGAGAUUUGAUCCUCCUUGAAUGUUGAGACGAUUGCGGCCUGGAAAUCGGGAACUUUGAUCCUGUUCAGGGCUCCCGUAUCUGGUCUCCGAAGCUUGAUGAAGUGGAAAGCUUCACGGAUUCCUUUCCCGACUGGCUCUGGCGCUGCACUGAAAAAGUACAAUUCCAGAACAUCUCCCCGUUUGAGGGACUCGUUGUUUUCCCAUGCAUCAAACACCGUUUUUUGGAUCCAUUUGGGUAGACCCUUGAUCUCGGUGAAGGCUGGAGAGGUGGUAUAAACUGAGGCUAACGCCCCGAACUCAUACCAUUCUUUGACAUCGUUUGGAUUGGCUCCUGGGGUUGUCCAAACUCGCGGAUAUUUUCCUGCAACAUCAACCCGGCAAUUUCCCGGAUUAAUGCCCUUUCUUGUGAGAAGUUUCUCCCACCUGUCUUGAUACAUCUGCCAAGAAGGAGAAAUAUCAAUAAAAUCAGUAUCAACCUUAACUUGGCCUGUCAUCGGCCUAAGAUUGAUCUCUUCCUCUUUUACCCCAGAGGUGGAGGGUUGACAUGUUGAUUCAGGGUGUGACCCCUUAACAACAUCUUUUCCUCGAGGGUCCGGCUGUGAAGCCAUCGCCUCAGGACUUGGGCUAGGGGUACUUGAAUCCCCUGCUACAGGUAGUCCGCCCUGUACGGAAAGCAUUGCUUUAAUCCGAUUAUCUCGGAUAACGCGCAAGAGCGACUUGUUUAGUACUUCUUGAAGAUUGAACAUCUUCAUGAAGCAUGCAUCAAUUUGGUUAGAUACUUGAGCUUCGUCAGCCGCUUGUAUCUUUCCUGCUUGUUUAGUGUGUAGAACACACUUUUGCCAUUCCUGUUGUAGCAACUCUAAACUUUCAAAGAGCUGCGCCUGUUUUGCCUCGAUGGCCUCCACCUCAGGGAGCUCCAUCCCUUGUUAGGAAAUCUGCAAGAACAUUUUGAUCAGAUUUCAAGAUGACAAUAUCAUAAUCAUAAUAUUGGCAUUCUGCUUGCCAUCUAAGCAAUCUAGCCUUUUCAGGUUUAGAUUCUAUUCUUUUUUGUUAAGAAAGCUUUAACAUUAGUGUUAUCUACUUACAAAACAAAUUUCUUAGCAAGUAAGAAAAGCGGCCAUUGUUUAAACGCCUUUCGCACUGCAAAGAAUUCCUUUUCGUUGAUGUGCCAUCGCACAGCUUCGUCGUCGGAAAAGAGACCGCUACAGUAUCUGCAAGGUUCUUCUCCAUAGGGGGUGAUCUUUGUGAGCACGGCUGCCCACCAGAAAUCACUCGCGUCUGUAUAGAGGACAAGGUCAUCCUCAUCUUGUGGUAUUGAAAGUUUUUGGGAGAUUUUUACAAAUCUCUUUUAACUUUUUUCAUACCCUCCCGAUGCUCCUCUUUCCAUAUGAAUGGAACAUCUUUCUUCAGUAAUGGACUGAAGACUUUUCGGUGCUCUGCAAGAUUUUUGAUAAACAUUCCUGCAAAGUUAACAACUCCGAGAAAGCUUUGGAGCUGUUUUUUCUCUUUGAGAUCCUCCGGAAAUCCCUGGACUUUUUCCACAAUAUGAUCUUGUAGAAUUAUCCCAGAUUCAUCGAUCUCGAUCCCCAGAAACUCCAUCUUCUGGGUGGCUAUGACUGCCUUCUUUUCUGACAGCACUAGUCCUUCUUGUUGACAAACAUCCGCAAAGAUCUCCAGAUGUCUGACAUGUUCAUGAAUGUUUUUUGAUGCAAUAAGGAUGUCAUCAAUGUAAACAAACAUAAACGAAGAAUAAUCUUUGAAGAGAUUAUCCAUCUUUCUUUGGAAUAUCUGAGGCGCAUUGGCAAGCCCCAUUGGCAUGACAUUCCAAACAUAAUGUCCUUGUGGAGUUGAGAAGGCUGUGAACUUCUUACUCCCUUCCUCCAUGCGAAUCUGGUAAAACCCUGAUUUGCAAUCGAACUUUGAGAAAACCCUUGCACUUCUGAUGCAGUUGAUAAGGUGUUCUCUGCUCGGGAUGAAAUAUCCAUCGAACUCCAAGAUGUCAUUAAUCCCUUUAUAAUUAAUGACCAAUCUUGGCUUUCCUCGCUUGAUCUCCCCAUGAUUUCUCACCAGAAAUCCAGGACUGCUGUAGGGUGAUCUUCCUCCUUCAAUCAGUUUCAAAUCAAGGUGUUCCUUGAUUAUACUCAUCAUAUCCUGUUGAUCUUGCGGGUUCAUCAGGAUAGGUUUGUACCUUACGAACUCAUGCUCCUUUCCAGUUUUGACUUUCAAGGUUGCUCUGAGCUGGUUCUUGUCCCACCAUGCCAAAGGAUUCUCGUGGUAACACUUCUGGAUUCUCCUUUUGACAUCAGCAAUGGACACCUGUUCUUCCUCCUUGAUAUCUUGGUGUGAUAUCAGGGAUACUUUGAGGAUUUGAGUUUCUUCCUCAGAGAGAUUUGGGAAUCCCUCAGUUCUGCAUUUGAGCAAAACUUCUCCGAAUCUCCUUUGAUCCUUCAUUUGUGGUCUCCGGAGUCUGCCAUCAUCACCACGCUUGCUGCGAAAGUUGAUUGGCAUCGAGCGAUGAAAAGCUCCAUUGAGCCUUUGCACAAUGAUCUUGUGAUCACAAUUGGUUGUGAACACUAGCCUCCUGGCUUCAUUGUCUUGUACGUAUCGCUUGAAGCUUUGCAGAAAAUUAUUUCCAAAUAAUAUAUCUGCUCCGGUAUCAUGGAAAUAAAUUGGUGGAGUCUUAACCUUGUACCAAGGUGUCUGACCUGCUCCGCCUAUCAAUAUUUCCGUUUCACUACUACAAAAACGCUCAUAGAUAACGGAUAAAAUCCGUUAUCUAUGACCCCAAAAAACCGAUAAGUAUAGUGGUGAUAUCUAUGAUACAGUCAUACAUAACGGUUUUUUUACCGUUAUGUAUAAUAGUAUAGAUAACGGUACGAUGCUCAUACGUAACGGUACAUAACCGUUAUCUAUAAUAGUUAUACAUAACGGUUUUUCACCGUUAUGUAUUAAGAUUUUACCGUUAUGUAUUAGAAUUUUUUUUUGUUUUUUAUCAUCAUAGUUAACAGUUUUUUGUACUUUUUAUAACGAUUUAAGCCGUUAUCUUUGUAAGAAAUACAUAACGGUAGGAACCGUUAUGUUUUAAUAUUUUUACCGUUAUGUAUUAGAGAUAUAUUUAUUUUUUUCAUCAUAGUUAACAGUUUUUUGUACUUUUUAUAACGGUUUUAACCGUUAUCUUUAUUAUUUAAUAUUUAAUAUUUUUUUUCAAUUUUCUGUUAUUUAUCUCAAGAAAUAAAUAAAUAAUUUAUAAACAAUAAAAUGAUAAAAUCAUCAAUAACAUAAAUUAUAUAUAACACAAAACCUUCAUACAUUAUCAUCCAAAACCUUCAUACAUAAUGUUUUGAGCCUAACUCAAAAAAAAAAAAAAAAAAAAGAAACUUCACAGAAGCACCUUCAUGCUCCAACUUUGAUGAGUUUCAGCUGCUCCUUCAUACAUAGUGGGUAUGACUUUUGAGCAUAUCUCCCUCAGCUGCUCCUUUAUACCAAAACAUAAAAUCAAACAACUUAACAUUCAAGGAAUCUGAAUUGUCAUCAAGCAAACAGAAAAAGCCUACCUGUUAAUAGUUGGUCUAUUUGGCGGCCUCAUGCCAAAAACUGAAAAAUCCAAAGACAUUGGAGCGUGCUCACUCCUCUCCCCAGCUGCCUGCCUUGUCUCAUUGCCAUGGUCAUCCAUCUUGAUCAUAUUGUUUGGCGCCAAACAGAAGCUCAGGAGCUCUGUACCAUCUA
rnacentral:lncRNA from 1 species